UCCACCUCCAUCCGAUUGCCAAUUGGAAGUUGUUAUAAUUACAGAGCAGACAGAAAAUAAAUCUCUCCUUUAUGUGCUAUUCCUCAGAAAGCCAGGCCUGGUGGCAGGGUGAAUACAAAUGGGCAAAGAGGACCCACUUGCAGGCAUGAAGAGGUGCUGGUUAAGAAAGUAGGCACCGGCAAAGCAAAGCCCCGGACCCAAGCUUGGCCAAGCAUCUUAUGCAGCCUACAGAACGGUGGAGAAGACAAAGGGCAGAAGCUAUAAGCUUGUCUACCUGUCCCUGGAGUGAUCCUGUUUGGAAAAGACUCAAUGAACCAGUCACACCACAGCAUAUAGACAUUCCUGCG